GUGCACUUGUUAGAAAAAAAAACGGAUUCUUAAGUACGAACCCAUCCCCUCCUCCUCCUCCUCCGCCGCCGCCCUUCAAUCGUCCUGCCCCUGACUGACUCGACUCCCCUGGCCUCCGCGCGCAGUUCACCGUCCCGGAUCUCCGCCCCGGCACGCUCGACUCCCUGCUCGCCCUCAGCGACGACCUCGUCAAGUCCAACAUCUUCAUCGAGGGCGUCUCCCACAAGAUCCGCCGGCAGAUCGAGGACCUGGAGCGCGCCGGAGGGGUCGAGCCCGGCACCCUCACCGUCGACGGCGUCCCCGUCGACAGCUACCUCACCAGGUUCGUGUGGGACGAGGGCAAGUACCCCGUCAAUGCCCCGCUCAAGGAGACCGUCGCCAGCAUCCAGUCCCAGGUCGCCAAGAUCGAGGACGACAUGAAGGUUAGAGUUGCUGAAUACGGUAAUGUUAAGAGCCAGCUUGGCGCAAUCAACAGGAAGCAAACUGGGAGUUUAGCAGUUCGUGACCUUUCCAACCUCAUAAAGCCAGAUGAUAUGGUCACUUCGGAACAUCUAGUGACACUCCUUUCUAUUGUGCCAAAGUAUUCCCAAAAAGAUUGGUUAUCAAGCUACGAGUCACUUGAUACGUUUGUGGUUCCGAGAUCAUCAAAAAAGCUUUACGAGGACAAUGAGUAUGCUCUCUACACUGUAACAUUAUUUGCCAAGGUUGUUGACAACUUUAAGGUCCAUGCUCGUGAGAAAGGUUUCCAGAUCCAUGACUUUGAGUAUAGUCCUGAAGCAUAGGAGAGUCGGAAGCAAGAGCUAGAAAAACUGCUGCAAGACCAGGAAGUUAUGAGGACCUCUCUAUUGCAAUGGUGCUAUGCAAGCUACAGUGAGGUACAUGUCUUCUGCAGUGUAUUAUGUCCUAAUAUCGUCUAUGAACCGUAUGGUGAACAAACCACAUGCCCUUAGUUCCUGUACAUUUCCAAAGGUACUGUAGAAAUAAGUCGGUCAAAUAUUUCAUUUGAUUGCACAGAUGUUCUUCAUCAAAACUCAUCCAUUAUGAACUACUCUCCAGCUUGUGGUUGGUUUCUACAGUAGUUUCCUCAUCUAUUUACUAUGUUAGCCUACACAAACUUUUGAUUUUUCUUUCUAGUUCAAUCGCAAGCCUGAACAUGAAGGUUGUGAAUUUGUUCAUUGUUUAAUUGGUUAUUUGAUCUUCUUCAGUGGUAGUCUGAAAACCAGAACAUGGUGUGAUCAUAUCAUACUGAAUCUGAAUUUCUAUUUUGAUAGUGCGAACUCACAUAGUUGUCACUCUCUGGUAGUUUUCUCUUGUUAAAACUGUAAGGACAAUGGUUGAGUUGCAACUUCCAUGGCAUAAUGGAAUCUGGGGCAUAUUUUUGUUAA